rnacentral:lncRNA from 1 species
CAGCAGGGCUGGCCUUGAAGCCGGAAGCCUGGGCCCUGACUGGCGCCUCCUCUGUGGCUUUCUCCCUGGCCUGGUCUCUUGCCUUUACCACAGCCUCCCCGUCUGGGACGGAUGCUCCCUGAGGCGUCUGCAGAUGUGAUGCUCUCACCUGGGGUGCCGUCCUGGCUUCCACACCUCCCCCCUCUCCCCAGAGGAGACCCU